UUAUUAAAUUUUGAAUCCCAACUUUUCAAUCCUGAUGCUGCAAAGUACUGAACUCCUAAGCAGUGGGGUUUUCUGAAUUUCUUAUGGUGAAUUGAUAUUUAAGGCAUCAAGCAACAGCUUCAUGA